rnacentral:misc_RNA from 1 species
GAAAUGCGAUAAGUAAUGUGAAUUGCAGAAUUCAGUGAAUCAUCGAAUCUUUGAACGCACAUUGCGCCCGCCAGUAUUCUGGCGGGCAUGCCUGUUCGAGCGUCAUUUCAACCAUCAAGCCCCCGGCUUGUGUUGGGGACCUGCGGCUGCCCGCAGGCCCUGAAAAACAGUGGCGGGCUCGCUGUCACACCGAGCGUAGUAGCAUAUAUUCUCGCUCAGGGCGUGCUGCGGGUUCCGGCCGUUAAACGACCUUCAUAACCCAAGGUUGACCUCGGAUCAGGUAGGAAGACCCGCUGAACUUAAGC